rnacentral:lncRNA from 1 species
GUCAAGGACGCCAAAUCCCCGACUGGCCGGACCCCGGCUACGUAACUCGUAGCCGCUGUCCGUCACGCCGGCGAGGUUAUACCCCUCAGCCGUCGGUUUGUAGAGAAGAGAGGGAGAUUAGGACUGAAUUAUUGCUUAUCCCAAAUGAUGUCUCGUACAUGCUUAUAUAGCCACAGAGGGGGCAGCUAUAAGGAAAUAACUAACAAGGAAACAACUAGUAAGGAAAUAACUAACAAGGAAACAACUCACAAGGAAAUAACUCACAAGGAAAUAACUAACAAGGAAACGACUAAUAAGGAAAUAACUAACACAGGAAACAAUUGAUUAGGUGGCUAACUUUCCUUCUAGCCACUUGCCUUCCCUUCCUGUGUCCUGGCUGCGCGCUCUGUUCCCCUGCGCACAUCACGCGCGCGCCUGGCGUAUGUGCGCCCGCACAUCACAUCUCUCCCGCCGUCGAAGACCAGCUCGUCCUCGAGCUGGAAAUCAGGGAAGCGAGCGCGAAAGUCGUCGUAGUCCUCCCAGCUUGCUGACGCAGCUGGCUCACCUUGCCACUGGACCAAUAGCUGGCGAAUCCCACGAGCCAGGCGCCCGGCUGUGACCCCUGCUGGCACGGGCACCACAGCGCCGUUGUGCGUGGGGGGUAAUGCCGGGGGUGUUGCUGGUGGUGUGCCGACGAACUUCUUGAGCACUCCAACAUGGAACACAUCAUGGAGGCGGGCCCCUGGCGGAAGCUCGAGCCGGACAGCCACGGCGUUGAUGAUCUCCAGGACGCGAUACGGUCCAACGAACCGUGGCUUGAGCUUGCCGGUGGAGGUCCGUGGUAGUGAUGCUGCCGGGCGUUGCCGGAGUCGUAGUAGUGCCCAGUCCCCAACUUGGUACUCCACCGGACGAUGGUGUUGAUCAUAGACACGCUUUUGGACCGCUUGGGCCUGUUCGAGGCGGUAGCGGACGUCGGUGAGAAAAGCCGUGCGGUCCUCCAUCUCCAGUGCAACAGCUGCCACACGCGUCUCACCAGGCUCAUAAGAGCGGAUGGAGGGCGGGUCGCGGCCAUAGACCACGCGGAACGGCGUCUCCCGGAGCGACGAUUGGAAAGCCGUGUUGUAGGUGUAUUCGGCCCACGGAAGCCAGCGAAGCCACUGCCGAGGACGAUCGCCUGUGAAACAACGGAGGUACAUGACGAUUACCCUGUUGGCGGCCUCCGUCUGUCCAUCCGUUUGCGGGUGAAAAGCCGACGACAUGAAGAGCUUGGUGCCAGUGAGCCGCAUGAGCUCGGUCCAGAAUGUCGACGUGAACACCGGGUCGCGGUCCGAGACGAUGGAUUGCGGCACACCAUGAAGGCGGACGAUGUCGCUGAAGAAUGCUUGGGCGACAGACUCGGCGGUGUAGGGGUGUGCUAACGGGAUGAAGUGGCAGUACUUGCUGAAGCGGUCGACGACGGAGAGGAUUACUGUCUUGCCCUGCACCCGGGGGAGUGCUUCAAUGAAAUCGAUGCCGAUGUCGGCCCACACGCUGGACGGAAUGGGCAGUGGCUGGAGCAGCCCGGCCGGCCUCAGGUGGUCAGUCUUGUACCUCUGACAUGUGGCGCACGCCUUCACAAAGUCCUGCACCACACGACGCAUGUUGGGGAAAUGAAAAUCACGCCGCAGGCGGUGCAGCGUGCGAUGAACGCCUUCAUGGCCGUCGUCGUGGACCGCGGCCAGGAUUUCCUGAAGUAGUGGCGAUGCUGGCGGGAUGUAGAGGCGCCCCUCCAAGGCGACCAUGCCGUCGGUGAUGGUCCACGGCGCCGUGCGGGUCCCCGCCCGGAGCUCAUCGUGGACGGCUACCAGCGCCGGGUCGGUAGCCUGGGCAUGGCGGAGGCGCUCGAUGAAGUCGAACCGGGGCGCUGAGAUGGCCAGCAGCUCUCCUUCCUCGUUGUCGCGGCGGGAUAGGGCGUCGACGACAGUAUUCGUGGCCCCGGAGCGGUACUCCACUGUGAAAUCGAAGCCCAAGAGCUUGCCGACCCAGUGGUGCUGCAGAAUCGUGGCGAGGCGCUGGUCGAGGAGGUAUUUCAAGCUGUAGUGGUCCGUCUUGACGAGGAAGCGGCGCCCCCAUAGGUAUGGCCUCCAAUGCCGAACCGCCUGGACCAUGCCAAUGAGCUCUCGCUCGUAGGCGGCCAGCGCGCGGUGGCGCGGCGCUACUGGCCGGCUGAAGUAUGCCACCGGGUGUCCCUCCUGGACUAAGACCGCCCCAAAGCCGAUGGUUGACGCGUCACAUUCGACGACGAACAGCUUGGCGAAGUCGGGCAUGGCGAGGACUGGUGCCGAAGUGACCGCCGCCUUGAGCGCGGAGAACGCCGUGGCCGCUCCAUCAUCCCAAGUGAAACCGUCCUUCUUGAGCAACGCCGUCAGGGGCGCGGCCACCGUGCCAUAGUUAUGUACGAACUUGCGGUAGUACCCCGCGAGGCCGAGGAAGCCACGGACGGCACGGGCGGAUCGUGGCGUCGGCCAAUCAUGGAUGGCUUGCACCUUGACGGGAUCCAUGGCGACGCCCGCCGCAGAGAUAACGUGGCCGAGGUAGGUGACGGCGCAGUUCUUCCAGGACAGCACGCAGGUGCCGGAGGUGAUCUGCCCAAGUCCUGCUGUAGAUCAAAAUAUCGUCAAAAAAUACGAGGACGAAGCGACGGAGGAACGGCCUCAGGAUGUCGUUCAUGAGGGCUUGGAAUGUGGCCGGCGCGUUGCAGAGUCCGAACGCCAUGACCAGGAACUCAUAUAGGCCGUCAUGCGUGCGGAACGCCGUCUUGUGGAUGUCCUCGGGUCGCAUGCGGACCUGGUGGUAUCCCGACCGUAGGUCGAGCUUGGAGAAAAAUUUGGCGCCGUUGAGCUCAUCCAAUAGCUCAUCCACCACCGGGAUCGGGAAGGCGUCCUUGACCGUCAUGGCGUUCAGGGCCCGGUAGUCGACGCAGAAGCGCCAGGAUCCAUCGGCCUUCUUGACAAGGAGGACCGGCGACGAAAACGGGGAGUCGCUGCGUCGGACGAUCCCUUGUUCCAUCAUGGCUGCACACUGCCGCUCCAACUCAUCUUUGUGGGCAGCUGGGUACCGAUAGGGGCGCACGGCGACCGGCUGUGCAUCGGGCUUCAACAGGAUGCGGUGAUCAUGUGCGCGCUUGGGGGCAGUCCCGUUGGAGUGGCGAAGACCCUUGCAAACGCUCCGAGGAGAGCAUCCAAGAGCGAUUCUUCAGCGGACAAGGCGCACACCGCCGGGCCCGACGUCGUGGAUAGGCCCGCCCAUGAGAUGGUGCGGCCCCCUCGCUGGAAGGACAUGCGCCUGUUGGCCAGGUCCCAGACAAUGGGUCCCAACGCGCCGAGCCAUUUGGUGCCGAGGACGAUGUCGUACCCGGCCAAGGGCAUGACGAACAGCUCCGCCGGGAACGCAGCACCAGCGAUGAUUAGUGGGGCUUUGCGGAUGACGCCGGCGCAGGUGAUCUUCUCACCAUUAGCCACCAUGGCCGUUAGGCGGGGACGUUGUUGGAGCGGAAGACCCGUUCGCCGAGCGGCUUCUUCGGAGAUGAAAUUGUGGGUGCUGCCAGAGUCGAGGAGGGCUACGAGCUGAGCGGCCCCUAGUGUGACCGCAAGCUGCGUGGUGUCCGUCAUGGACACCCCAGCCACCGCCUGCAGCGAGAAGCAGGGGGCGUCCCUGUCCCCGUCGUCAGUGACGGGUUCGGUGUCAUCAAUCUCCACCCCGUCCACGAAGAAAAUCCGCUUGCAAAACCUGUUAUGGCCACGAGAAUACUUUUCGUCACAGUUAAAACAAAGGCCAAGGCGACGUCGUUCUGCCUGCUCCGCCGUAGAGAGGCGCCGCUGGUUGCCCUCGCGUCGUCCCUGGUCGUUACCCGCCGGCAGGUUUGGAAGAGCCAGCUGCUGGGGUGGCGCGGCCGGAGCGGUUCGAGGCGGCGGUGGCGGAAGUAGACCGCGCGCUCCCUGUCGUACCAGCGGUCGCUCGAGCUCCAUGAGCUCCACUUGCCGCGCCAGGCUCAUCGCAGCGGCGAGCGUGGUCGGAUUAUGGAUGCGCACCGCAUGACUGAGAGGCGGGAGGAGGCCUCCGGUGAAGAGUUGCACUCGUUGAGCUUCGUCCAGCCGACCGGCACGGGGCAGGAGCGUCUGGAAACGAUUAGAGUACUCCUCCACAGAUCCGGUGCGCCGGCAUUCCGAAAGUUCGAACAACGGCGCGGAACGGAGUGGAGGUCCGAACCUCUCAUUCAGGAAGUCUUUGAAUCGACCCCAUGACGGGGCACCAUCAUCUUCUUCAAGCUGGUUGUACCACAGCUGCGCAACGUCGUCCAGAUGGUAUGAUGCCAUCCGAACACGUUCCUCCCCCAAGGUGCGGUGAUGCCGGAAGUAUGACUCACAUUUGUUGAUGAACAGCAUCGGAUCGACGGAGCCGUCGAAGCGGGGGAAGUCCCACUUGCGGUGCUGCAGGUACGGAUCGUGGUCGCGCUGCCCCUCGGGUCGCCGACCGUGGCCCCCGUUGUCCGAGGCCGACGCAGACUUGUCCUUCAUGGCCGCCAUGUCGAACUGCAGCGUGUUGACGUCCGUGCGGAGUGCCCGCAACUCAGCGAGGACGUCGGCAAUGGUGGGCUCGGCCAUGGCUGUGGUGGAGGCUGGGAAAGGUGGUGGCGUUGGCGGCUGCUGGGCGUGGUUGGAGCGGGUGGGUGAGGAUCGACGAGACCGUGAUACCAGGUUGUCAAGGACGCCAAAUCCCCGACUGGCCGGACCCCGACUACGUAACUCGUAGCCGCUGUCCGUCACGCCGGCGAGGUUAUACCCCUCAGCCGUCGGUUUGUAGAGAAGAGAGGGAGAUUAGGACUGAAUUAUUGCUUAUCCCAAAUGAUGUCUCGUACAUGCUUAUAUAGCCACAGAGGGGGCAGCUAUAAGGAAAUAACUAACAAGGAAACAACUAGUAAGGAAAUAACUAACAAGGAAACAACUCACAAGGAAAUAACUCACAAGGAAAUAACUAACAAGGAAACGACUAAUAAGGAAAUAACUAACACAGGAAACAAUUGAUUAGGUGGCUAACUUUCCUUCUAGCCACUUGCCUUCCCUUCCUG